UGCAUCUGCUUACACCCAUGAACCUGCGUCUGAGAGCAGGUCCAUUAUACUGUGACUCUUAGACCCAGUAGCAAAGCAGCUGUAUUCGAGAACACUGUCCUCACUGCGUGGGCCGGUCUAUGCUGUGUUUUUUCUGUUAUGACCAGAGUUGCUUUUUUUCUUGCACUGAAACUGAGCUGUAGAUUCUCUAUGAAGUGGCAUCUUUGGAUUUUUCCCUCGUUUUAUGGGUUACUGUAGUGACCUCUUAAAACUUGACACUGUAAAUAAAAAACUAUUUGCAAGGAAGAAACCAAAAAAAAAAAAAGAAA